GCAUGCACAGAGGAGCCUGGCGGGCUACAGUCCACAGGGUCCCAAAGAGUCAGACGACUGAGGGUCACAGCAGACACCCCAGGAGUGGACAGGCGAGGGAAGGGGGGUGACUGAGUCUAGUCAGGGGCCUGCUCCAAGGGUACAGUCCCCUUUUCUUUCGCCUUCUUCCUUCCAACAGUAUAGAGAACAUGAGGGUGAUUUGGCCCAAGGGAGGCAGCAGAAGCUGUUGUUGGAAGUGGUCAGAUUCUGGUUAUAACUUGGUAAAAAUAAUGGGAUUUCAAAUGGUUAAGAGAUUGAAAUUUCUGGCCUGAUCAAAAAGGAAGAACUGAAUUGCCAAUUCUUGAGAUAUGAAAGAGUGUAAAGGGAGCAAGUUUUGUCACAGACAAUUAAAAGCUCAGCUUUGCACAUUCUGAGAUGCCUAGUAGAUCUCCAAUGUAGAUUCCAGGUAGGCUGGAAUCUACAUGUUGGAUCUACAUGUUUGGAAUUUAAGAGUGAUCUGAGCUGGAGAUACAUAUUUGAGAGUCAUGACAUAACUUAAAGCCAUUGAGAUUAGGACCAAUUAUUCUGAGAGUGAGUGAAGAUAGAAAAAAAACAGUUCCAAAAUAUAAAAGCCAGGUUGAGGAAAAGGGAACAGUUAGAGACGGAGGAGCGUGGAGAAUGGUAGGAAGAAAAUUAGGCAAUGUAUUGGCUGAAAGAGGAAAAUGUUCUCUAAGAGUGAGAUGGUAGACUGUGUUAAAUGCUGCUGAGAGAUUGGUAAGAUGAAGACUAGACACUGGCCCCUCAAAUUAAUGACAUUGGUGACCCUAGGUGAACUGCUUCAUGGAUUUGUGAGGGAAACUGGAGUGGGCUUGAGGGGUGUGAAAGAGAGGUGGCAGACAGCAAGCACACGCAGGCCUCUGAAGGUACCUGGCUGUGAAGAAAAGAAACGGGCGUUAAGUAGAAUACCCCGUGUAGAAGAAAUGAUUUAUGGCAAGGCGGGGUGGGGGAGACUUGUGGCACCUGCUGGCCAGGAGGUGUCAGCUGGAGGAUUCCCCAGCAGUGGGAGAAAGGCCAGGGUGCGGCGUGCAGACAGAAAGCAGAGAUCAUUUCUUGCUGUGGAGGCAGAAGCUGGGUCCUCGGAGAAUACGCCAGCUUACUUUUGAGAAUUGUUUCGACAGAAAGGUAGAAGUACCGUAACUACUUCAUGCUGCUGCUCAGACAGGUGGUUUAUGCCUGCUGAUUAUUAUUCAGACCAUGGACACAUAGUUCAGUAUGCUACUAUCUGUCCUCACUGUUAUCUGACAAAGACGACCAUGGAAACAGUGAAACAUCUGUAUAAGUCAGUAGAGUUUUAUUUAAUGAGAUCACUCAUUCAAAAGGUUGUGCUUUCUGUGUUUACUCUUACAUUAUAUAUAGUUUUUAUUUAUACAGAGAUUCAAAACUUCAGUUACUUCAGGCUAAAAUUCCUUGAGAAUUUCCCCAGAAUAUACUGAUUUACUCCCUUUCAUUUUCCCUACUUUCAGCUAGAUGACUACAUCACUAUUUCUCAUUUUUCUGCUGCAACACUUGAGUAUAUCCUUAGCAAUAUCAGUAAACCAACAUAAACAGGGCAGCUCAUAGCAAAAUAAAAGAGUUAUAUACACCUCUAGGUAAGGAAUAACCAGAACAUUGGGAAUAUUAAUAUCAGUGAUUGGAACAAUUACAGCUGCUGCUACUUAAUAUUAUCCACCAAAUAUUAUUCUGGGUACUCUCUAUCCAUUAUCCUUAAACCCUCACAAUAUCCUUUUUAAUUGGUAUUUUUUCAUUUUAUAAAUAGGAAAAUGAAGGUCCAGAGGGAAGAGGCAACUUGCUCAAAGACAACAGAGCUGAACAUUAAAUCCAGGACUCUACACUCUGGGAGCACUAUUUCUUCCAAGCUUGGACAAAGUUCAGUGCUUUCAAUGGGGAACAAAUUCACAACGCUGCCACACGUAUCUGAAUCCUUUCAAUCCAAGGCUUUGGAUUAAUAAAAGAGUCAUAAACUGCUCCUUGACCUAUGGGGGUGCAUGCUCCAAACAGGUGUUCUGAAGACAAGCUGACAGCUUUACUGAUACCUCCUACCAUCCCCAAAUGGGAGGUGCUCUGCGUUAACUACUGGGCCUGAGUGUACAAAACCAAGCCAGAAGACAGGAAAAGGAAUUAAUGAGCUGAGGAGCUGAAUUAUUUAAAACACCCUAUUUUAAAGUGUCUGAGAAUAUAGCAAGUGCUAUAUUUUGCCACUUCGGCCUGGCUGACAAACUCCACCAUUCCACAGGGGAAAGCUAUUGACAUAUUUUUUAAAGUGUAUUAUGUUUGAGGAAUCAUACGGAUCUAACAAAGUUAUAUCAACCAAAAGAAUAAAAGAGAGCUGGUCCUAUGGUUCAGGAUUCUAAACAAUUCUUUAACAACUAUUCAACUGUUUAAUUUUCUAACAACAAACAGUAUUUUUUAAAACUCCAUUUCUUACUAUUUCUUUCAUUCUAAUAUACUCUUACUAGGUCAUGUUAAAGAACUGAUACACACACACACACACACACAUAUAUAUGUAUAUACUCAUGUUUGCACACACAUUAAAUUUAUAAGAGGCAGUCCUGGGAUUAAUUUAGUUCUUAUAUUCAGUUACUGUCUUCCAUACUUUAUAUUUGUUUAUCUAUUCAUAACUGAUAAAAAAUCUUUUAUAUAAAACUUGGAAA